rnacentral:rRNA from 1 species
UAGGGAAUAUUGCAAAAUGGGCGAAAGCCCGAUGCAGCAACGCCGCGUGGGCGAUGAAGGCCUUCGGGUCGUAAAGCCCUUUUUGAGGGGAUGAGGAAGGACAGUACCCUCAGAAUAAGCCUCGGCUAACUACGUGCCAGCAGCCGCGGUAAAACGUAGGAGGCGAGCGUUAUCCGGAUUUACUGGGCGUAAAGCGCGUGCAGGCGGAUUGGAGAGUUGGAUGUGAAAGCUCCCGGCUUAACUGGGAGAGGUCGUUCAAUACUUCCAGUCUUGAGUGCAGUAGAGGGAAGUGGAAUUCCGGGUGUAGUGGUGGAAUGCGUAGAUAUCCGGAGGAACACCAGUGGCGAAAGCGGCUUCCUGGACUGUAACUGACGCUCAGACGCGAAAGCUAGGGUAGCAAACG